rnacentral:RNase_P_RNA from 1 species
GAAGUAAGCUGGGUAAUCGCUGGUGGAUUUCAUCCACGAGAGGAAAGUCCGAGCUCCAAAGGGCAGGGUGCUGGAUAACGUCCAGUCAGAGCGAUCUGAAGGAUAGUGCCACAGAAAUGGACCGCCAAUGGCCAUCAUAUGAUGGUACAGGCAAGGGUGCAACCGUGGUGUAAGAGACCACGAGGGAAUAUGGCGACUUAUUCCCUGGUAAACCCCACCUGGAGCAAGACAAGAUAGGAGCGCAUAUAGGAGUGGCCCGCUCCGCGUUCGGGUUUGUCGCUUGAGCCAUAUAGUAAUAUAUGGUCUAGAUAGAUGAUUACCGCUUCAACAGUGGGAGCUAAGAUGCGUUUACCACUAGAAGUACAAAACUCGGCUUAUAGGCUUACUUUCCAA